GGGAGGAGGUGGAGUCCAGUAUCACGAACCAACACUGUCAAUGUUGGAUCUCCUCCGGGCUUAUUGGUGCCGCUGGGCAGAUAGGACGAUGGAGUCUGGUAGUGUGUCGAAUUUGCUUCGACUGUGUUUAGCUGAAAGGCAAAUGCACUUGGUGAGUUGGUGAUGAUAAGCUCAAUCAGCAAGAGGAAAUCAAGUUUUAACA